GCCUUGGUAGUGUAAUGGUAGCACCCUUGCCUAGAAAGUGUGAGGCCUAGGUACGAGCUUUCACUGAGGCA